rnacentral:rRNA from 1 species
GCCUGUUUAUCAAAAACAUCGCCUCUUGAACAACAAUAAAUAUAAGAGGUCCCGCCUGCCCUGUGACUAUAAGUUUAACGGCCGCGGUAUUUUGACCGUGCGAAGGUAGCGCAAUCACUUGUCUCUUAAAUGGAGACCUGUAUGAAUGGCAUAACGAGGGCUUAACUGUCUCCUUUUUCAGGUCAAUGAAAUUGAUCUCCCCGUGCAGAAGCGGGGAUAAUAACAUAAGACGAGAAGACCCUAUGGAGCUUUAGACACCAAGCAGCCCAUGUCAAAACCACCCCCACACGGAAAUAAACUAAAUGGACCCUGCCCUAUUGUCUUUGGUUGGGGCGACCACGGGGAAACACAAAACCCCCACGCGGAAUGGGAGCACACCUCCUAAAACCAAGAGCCACAGCUUUAAUUAACAGAAUUUCUGACCAUUAUGAUCCGGCAAUGCCGAUCAACGGACCGAGUUACCCUAGGGAUAACAGAACAAUCCUCUUUUAGAGCCCAAUCC